CCUUCUCCCUUCACCUUUUCCCCUUUGUAGUUUUCCAGAAAGAAAGGAGGGGGAAAUAAAAAGUCAUUGACGUAGGUAGGGACCUUCAGCAGAAGGUCGGAAAACGCGUCCGAUGAUGAAUGAUGAAUCCCGUGGGUAAUUUCGUUUUAUUUUUACUUUUUAUUUUUAUUCUUUUCCCUUUUCCCAUGCUUGGGCGGGUAAAUUAUUCCGUCGGGGGCUAUCCACCGAGGUUCUUUUAUUUUAUUUUAUUUUUUAUUUUUUUUUCGCUUGGGCUCUGAUGAAACGCGCUACUGGCCCAACCUUUUACCCCCUUGAAUGGACG
rnacentral:sRNA from 1 species